CCUACGGGAGGCAGCAGUGGGGAAUAUUGGACAAUGGGCGGAAGCCUGAUCCAGCCAUGCCGCGUGUGUGAAGAAGGCCUUUUGGUUGUAAAGCACUUUAAGCGAGGAGGAGGCUACUAGUACUAAUACUACUGGAUAGUGGACGUUACUCGCAGAAUAAGCACCGGCUAACUCUGUGCCAGCAGCCGCGGUAAUACAGAGGGUGCGAGCGUUAAUCGGAUUUACUGGGCGUAAAGCGUGCGUAGGCGGCUGAUUAAGUCGGAUGUGAAAUCCCUGAGCUUAACUUAGGGAUUGCAUUCGAUACUGGUCAGCUAGAGUAUGGGAGAGGAUGGUAGAAUUCCAGGUGUAGCGGUGAAAUGCGUAGAGAUCUGGAGGAAUACCGAUGGCGAAGGCAGCCAUCUGGCCUAAUACUGACGCUGAGGUACGAAAGCAUGGGGAGCAAACAGGAUUAGAUACCCUGGUAGUCCAUGCCGUAAACGAUGUCUACUAGCCGUUGGGGUCUUUGAGACUUUAGUGGCGCAGCUAACGCGAUAAGUAGACCGCCUGGGGAGUACGGUCGCAAGACUAAAACUCAAAGGAAUUGACGG
rnacentral:rRNA from 1 species